GCAGAGGAUCUGGUUUUCCCAACAUUCUGUCAUGAACUUCUAUUCAUCUCUAGAUACACCUCUUGCGUAGGAAAGUCACCUACUCCACUGCCACAGGCAGUGACCCUGGGAGGUCACCUCAGAUUGCCUAAACACCAAAUUAGAACUGGAGCUCUCUUUUUCCCUGAAGGAAGGGGCUGCACCGAGACUAACCCUCCUGGAAGGCAGCGGGCUUUGAUACCUCAAGCAGGAGCGUACACAACAGCCCAGACCUCAAGAUCUCUAGGUGGGGGGAGCUGGUACUUUUAGAACUUCUGUAAACAAAUGGCGGCCCACAUCCCUCUGGUGCCGGGAAGCCCAACAUGGCUGCUCUCACACUUGUAGGUGACAAGGGAGAGCCUGAGGGGGUUCUCUUCCAGGAGAGCACAGACCCACCCUGCACACUUCUCUUUGGGAUCAUAGGAGACAGGUAGGGGAGGCAGCUCAGUGCUGACGUUCCUUCUUUCCUUGGCCCUCACGUUGCCCCCGCUCCCUGAUAAAGCAUAUUCCUUAACCCAUGUUACAUUAUAUUGUGGAAUCUGUGCAACAAAAGUUGGACGCUCAGAUGGUACUCACCCUUCAUGAUGCUCUCACCUCUUUUAACUUUUAUCCUCCAGGGAAUAAAUAAAUAUGAAACUCUGUCUGAAGCUUGGACAUCUCAAUUCACUUCAGUCCCCUGUGUUCAAAUGCCUCACGCACAGACUCCCCAGAAGACCCGCCCACACAACCCGAUAUGAAGAAUAUAAAAUAAGUACACCAUCUUCUACCACUGCUGUCCCUUGCUCCCACACGCAGUCAGGCACCCCAGUGAUUUCCAUUUUGAGUCCGUUUUCUGUUAUCUGUAGUUACCUGGUCAUCUCCCUUCUUUCUAGAAGCAAUCAGUCAACAAGCUGUCAGUUCCCCCAGUAUAAUGCUUCCUUUACUGCUGACCCCAAUUUAGUCUCUCACCAGCCUGCAUGCUGACCUACCAGUGUCUUAUAACUGGUAUUUGUAAUGUGCUUUUUCAACCAAUCAGUCAAACAAAAUGAAAACAUUCAGUGUCUUCCCAAAGUCACAAGAGAAACCCCUGAUUUCCCUACAGCACUUUUCUUAAAUUCCAACUCUAUUCCUGCAAUAUCCCUUGGCAAAUCCUCACUUCCAGGUAAGGUUAUCUAUUCAUCGUUCUUCAAACACAUCCACCCUACUGUUAGAGCCUCUGAUCAUCCACCUAAUUGUUGGCAUUAUGCGCAAUCUGGGCAACCUGUUCCCCAUCCCUGCCUCUGCCCCAAACCCAGUAUCUGGUCCUUCCACAGCACUCUCCUGAAAUGUUUUCUGCCUUCUCAAAGCCCUGGAUCUUCUCUUUUUGCCUUAGGAGCCCUGCCCUCUCCCCUCACGGCCACUCACAGGGCACAGUGUCACGCAGGUACUCCCACCACUGCCAAGUGUGGAGUCCCCCAUCAUGUGGACGACGUGACCAGCCAGGCAGCCCAGGAUGCUGUCAACAGUGGAGAAGGAGCGUCUGGAGCAGGACAGUGAGUGCCACACAUCUUGGUGGUAGAAGCCAGAGGGCUUUGGGCCUGGGAUCCCAGGGUGGCAUGGUUGUCGAGGGGACAGAACUGUAAACAAUUAUUUGUGAGCAGAACAAUCCGUGGGUACAGAAGAGUCUAAAGCCACAGGCAUGGAACACGUGCUGCCUUUUCUGCAAGCCCCAGUGUCACUUACCCAGACUCUUGUUGCUCUCCUUGGCCACCCAGAUUGGAGAAAUACCCUGAGGGAGGACCUUGUCUGUCACGUUCCUGAAGAGAAACCAAUUUGCAAGAGGGAAGCCCUUAGUGGAAAUGAGUGAUGGGAAGGCACCCUGGGCUGAGGGGCAGUCAGAAGAGCAAAGAUGCCUGCAAUGCUUCUCUUCUGCCAGAGGUCCAUGUUUCUCCUUCAAGCCUUAGCUAAAUUGUCACCUGCCCGAUCAUCACAGGCAGAUUCCCCGCAGGACCCUAAGUGCCUCGCUGGAGUGGAUCAGCUGCACUCGCACCUGGGCCUGCCCAGCCCACAGCAGAGGGAAGGACAACAGGUAGGUGCCAUUCUCCAGAUCCUGGAUAUCCCCAGGGACUCCUGCCUUCAGGUGGGGACCCAGCAGCUGUGCCCGAAACAGAUCUCCACCACAGGUCUUGGGCCUGCCCUGGUGGUCUCUGGCGACAAGGAUGGCCUCUAGGGAGCCUCCCAGGGUGUAGCUGGCCUGGGAACGAUCCCUCAGGUGGUAGGUGGAAGUCUGGGGAUUGGUGGAGGCCAAAAGGUCCCCCACAUCUCCUGGGGUGGGAGGCCAGUGCAGAAGAUGGGUCAGGUCCGAGAGCUCCUUGGGGAGAGAGCCAGAGGACUUGCAGGCAGGGCGGGGCUGUGGGGGCAGAGGGACCAUGCUGUUAGGCCAGGAAACUCUGAUGUACAAGAUCUGUGGACAGAGAAAGAAGAAACUGUCAAUGGUUUGUGUCUCUUCACCUUUCUUCUGGGAAGGUAUCAGUUCAACAGACGUAGUCCUCCUCUGCCUGGUGGGUCUCAGGCAGGAAUCCUACCAGCCCUAUGUCAUGCCACUUCUGAUCCAAAGCUGGUGUGUGAGCUACCACCCCACACACGUGCAGAUAUCAUCUCAUGUUUAAAACCCUAUGUCUCGGGGAGCCUUGGGUGACUCAGUUGUUAAGUGUCUGACUUUUGAUUUCAACUCAGGUCAUGAUCUCACCAUUCAUGGGAUUGAUCCCCAAGUCAGGCUCUGUACUGACAGCACAGAGUCUGCUUGGGAUUCUCUCUCCCUCUCUCUCUGCCCCACCCCCGCUCAUGUGCAUACAUACACACACUCA